rnacentral:rRNA from 1 species
GAAAUUACGCCUUCCAUGAAGCUGGAUUCGCUAGUAAUCGCGCAUCAGCCACGGCGCGGUGAAUACGUUCCCGGGCCUUGUACACACCGCCCGUCAAGCCAUGGAAGCCGGGAGUGCCUGAAGUGCGUGAGCGCAAGCAGCGCCCUAAGGUAAAACCGGUGACUGGGGCUAAGUCGUAACAAGGUAUC